rnacentral:precursor_RNA from 15 species
AGAACCUUGUUUGGUAUGGCUCUGGGGCUCAACUGCUCUCCCAAUUAAGUCAGUUGGACUUUUGAUUUUGACUAAAUUGGGAGAAGGGUUGAGUCCUCUGGUGACCUGUUUGUCAACUGGAC